rnacentral:rRNA from 1 species
UACAGAGGGGGCAAGCGUUGUUCGGAAUUACUGGGCGUAAAGGGCGCGUAGGCGGCCAACUAAGUCAGACGUGAAAUCCCCAGGCUCAACCUGGGAACUGCGUCUGAUACUGGAUGGCUUGAGUUCGGGAGAGGGAAGUGGAAUUCCAGGUGUAGCGGUGAAAUGCGUAGAGAUGUGGAGGAAUACCGAUGGCGAAGGCACCCCCUGGGAUCAACACUGACGCUCAUG